UACGUAGGGUGCAAGCGUUAAUCGGAAUUACUGGGCGUAAAGCGUGCGCAGGCGGUGAUGUAAGACCGAUGUGAAAUCCCCGGGCUUAACCUGGGAACUGCAUUGGUGACUGGCAGGCUUUGAGUGUGGCAGAGGGAGGUAGAAUUCCACGUGUAGCAGUGAAAUGCGUAGAGAUGUGGAGGAAUACCGAUGGCGAAGGCAGCCUCCUGGGCCAACACUGACGCUCAUGCACGAAGCGUGGGGAGCAACAGG
rnacentral:rRNA from 1 species